AUGCCUGGAGGAGUUAAUGACAUGGCUAUUGUGCUAAUCCCUAAGGUCCCUCACCCUAAGGACCUGAAAGAUUUUCGGCCAAUAAGCUUGUGUAAUGUCAUUUACAAGAUUGUCUCGAAGUGUAUGGUGAAUAGACUGCGGCCUAUUCUGUUAGAGCUAAUCUCAGAGAACCAAAGCGCCUUCAUUCCUAGGAGGCUCAUUACUGACAAUUCCAUAAUUGCAUUUGAGUGUCUCCAUCACAUUCAGACUACGAGGAACAAUGCGCCAGGUCUAUGUGUUCACAAACUUAACUUAUCUAAAGCCUACGACUGGGUGGAUUGGUCUUGUUUGGAGAGAGCCCUGACUAGGUGGGGUUUUUCAGAGCUAUGGUUCUCUCGUGUUAUGGCAUGUGUUUCUUCGGUCAAGUAUUCAGUGAAAUUUAAUGGCAAGCUGCUGGAGUCCUUCUCUCCCUCCAGGGGACUCCGCCAAGGUGACCCUUUGUCUCCUUUCCUCUUCUUAUUUGUUGCUGAUGCCCUGUCUUCAUUGAUGGAAAAGGUGGCAAGAGAGGAUGGUCUCAAAGGAGUCACGAUCUGUAGAGGUGCGCCGGAGAUAACACAUCUCUUAUUUGCGGAUGACUCACUCUUGUUCUUCCAGGCUACGCAACAACAGGCAUUGUUGGUGAAAGGAGUGUUGAACACAUUUGCGGCAGUGACUGGACAACUUAUCAACCCGUCGAAGUGUUCCAUUCUAUUCUCAAGCCAGUGCCCAUCUAAUGUGGUACAAGAGAUAAAGCAAACACUAGAAAUUUCAUAG
rnacentral:rRNA from 1 species